AAAGACAAACAAACUCAACUGUAGCCUUUUGUUUUUCUCCUAGAAAGAAUGUAAAAGAACAAAACCAAAACCUUUUCUAUAACAAAGAAUCAACAGAGCCAAAUCCACUGAACUACCUAUAAAUGGUGUAUGAGUAUUUUUUUAAAUCUGAGCAAUGAAAAGUUCAUUCCAAGUAUCUGGGACCCCAGGUAAGCACCAAUGCAAACAAUCAUUAACCACUGGAGCCGUGGCUGUCACGUUACUCUUCACUUUUUUAGGUUUUCUAGGUUUGAGUUUAGACCCUGAGAUAUGAGCUUCAUCUCUCAGCUCAGAAAGCGCAGUUAUGUCAAGAAUCUUGAUCCUCGUCCCAUUCACAGCACUCUCCACCGUUGCAUCAACCGACCCAUCAUCACCAUUGAUUUCACUUCCUCUAGACAGAGGGACAGUAUUGUUACAGUUCCCACCUGUGUUCCAAUCUCCGUUCCUAAAAUGCCUCGGAGAUAUCGUCCUAAAGAAAGCUCUCAACCGCGGAUGCAACGGAAGCUGCGCGUCUAGCCACUUCGCAACGCUGCGUAUUGUAAAAACCUUAGCGUGACUUAUAUCUUUAAGAAACUCGCCUUCUACCUUUGUGCCGUUCACGUGCAUCACCCAGUGAUUGCCUUCGAUCUUGCCCCUGUUCCAGUGGUGGCCCGUGUUAAGAACCAACACAUCGAAACGGUGAAGGUACUUCCUCAUAAACGCUGGUGGACGGUCCAGAUGCAUUGCGGUGAGACGAGGUGAGUCAGUGUUCUUCAUGGGGACCAAAUCUGAUAAACUAGCUGACCAAUAAUACAAGAUGGUUGUGUUUGUGGUGGGUCUUGCGUUUACUGUAUAAAUUUGAAAAUUUUGGGUACUCUACGUCAAUAUUUCACUUGGCUAUGUCCGAACCGGCUCUGCCCAGCACUUAGAUAACAACAUAGUACUAAACUCCUCUGCUUGUUUUAGAUUUGUAAGAGGAGAGCAAUACGCUGUGGGAUUAGCCUUGCUUGUGGAAGGCAAAGUGGUGGUCGGCGUUAUGGCUUGUCCUAAUCUUCAUUUGUCUUCUGCGGUUGUUGAGAAAGACGACAAGUCUUGCCAGGAUAAUGUUGGAUGUCUUUUCUUUGCUACAACUGGUUCAGGAGCUUAUGUGCAACCGCUCAAUGGCAAUUCUCCACCACAGGAGGUAUCUAUCUUUUAUCUUAUCCAAAGCUAAACUGUUGAUAUGUCGGGUAUGAGAGUGAAAGAACUGUGUUGACAGGUGAGAGUGAGUAGCAAUGAGAAUCUUGAAGAAGCAAAGUUCUUAGAAUCAUACCAUAUGCCAAUUCCCCUCCAUAGUUCCAUUGCUACGGUAAGAUAUUGCUUAGUGUAUUACAGUGUGCUCUCAUGUUGCCAUAACCCGGCUCAAUAAUUUCAUGGACCUUAGGACAAAAAGAUUUAAACCUUUAAAUUUAAUAUUUAUUUAGAAUCAGUAAUAAAUAUUAUAAAUAAUUUUUUAUAAAAUGUAUAUUGAAAAAUACGUUUAUAAAAUAUUUUGGGACUCUUUUUUUUAAAUUUGUUGCAAUAAAAUACAUAUAUAUUUUCUUUAAAAAAUUAGGAUAAAUAACUAUUAAAAUUGAAGGAUCGGGAACGAUCGUACUGCUUGUCCCCAUCUAAGCCGGAACUGGCAUAACCAAGUGGGAUUCUUACGGUUUUACGCAGAAACUUGGGAUCACAGCGUUACCUGUAAGAAUCGAUAGCCAAGCAAAGUAUGCAGCUGUGUCCAGAGGAGAUGCAGAGAUGUACUUGCGCUUCACUCUUGUUGGAUACCGUGAGUGGAUAUGGGACCAUGCAGCUGGUUCAAUCAUCACAACAGGUUUAUAAUUAUAUAAAUAUAUAGUACAUAAACACUGAGAACUGUUGGCUCUAAAUGCACGUCCAUUGCAGAAGCUGGAGGCGUCGUUUGCGAUGCUGAAGGGACACCUCUGGACUUCUCAAAAGGAAAGCGUCUUGAUCACAACAGAGGGAUCAUAGUUACCACCAAGAAACUCAAGCCAUUGAUUUUGAAAGCUGUUAGAGAAUCCAUGGAAGAGGAGAAUCUUCGUGUCUGAGACUGAGACACAACUGAGAAUCUACUGUAUUUGUAUGUGUAUUUGUCUGAACUGGUAACUGGUUUGUGUCAGUGUGUGUAUUAUUGCCUAGUUCGUUGUAUUGUCUACGUCAGAUAUGUAAUAUAUUUGUGCUUGCAGGAAACUAUACGUUAAGAUUCGACUUUUUUAUUCCUUUGAGAAAAUGAUUGAUGAUCACUUUUGUCUUCUUGCGAAUAUUACUAGAAGAUGAUGGUGACGACGUUAGUAAACUCACGUUCUGCCAUUACGUGAAAGACGGUCUUCGCCAACCCCGUCUCACACGAAAACUCUGUUAACCGUACUGGUUCCGGUUCAAUAAAGAAGAAGAUUGUUUCGAUGUUUCUUGUACAACCCAGUUGUAACCAGGGCCGGCAUAAAAAACUAAAACUUAACUAAAGAACGAAACCGAAAAAACGAAGUAAAACCAAACUGAAGUUCACAAAUAACCAAACAGUUCUUAUAUUUAUAGUACAGAAAAACCGAAACCAAACCACAUUAUAUACUUAAAAUAGUAAAUAAAUUUAGUUUAAAAUUAAAUAUAUUUAAACACCUAAAAAUAUUAAAUAUAUUUAAUUUUAAAAUUACUAAAUAUUUAAAAUACUACUUAUGAAAUGAAAUAACUAGCAAUCUUUUUCCAAAAUAUUAAAACUAUAUGAAUUAUCCAAAAAAAAAACCGAAUUAUCGAAAUAGUUUAUUCAAAAUAUUUAUAUUUAUCCAAAUUACUUGAUAUUUAAUCCGAAAAAAUUGAAAACCUGAUUUUUAUCCGAAUUAUCUGAAAUUACCCAAAAAAACCGAAAACAAAUUAUAACCAAAAAUGUAUCCAAUAUUAGCCGGUUAUCGGAACUGAACCAAAAACCUAACCUGAACCGAAUCCGUUAAAUUGUGUAAUCAUAGGAAUCAACAAUCUGUAGCCUUUGUUUCUCUCCGAGAAAGAAUGUAAAAGACAAAACCAGAACCUUUUCUAUAACAAAGAAUCAACAGAGCCAAUCAUUCACUGAACUACGUAUAAAUGGUUUUUGAGUAUUUUUUUUUAAUCUGAGCAAUGAAAAGUUCGUUCCAAGUAUCUGGAAUCCCAGGUAAGCACCAAUGCAAACA
rnacentral:lncRNA from 1 species